rnacentral:tRNA from 1 species
GCCCCGUUGGUCUACUGGCGAAGGAUACCGGCCUUUCACGCCGGGGGGAUGGGUUCGAUUCCCAUACGGGGUA